rnacentral:rRNA from 1 species
UACGGAGGAGGCAAGCGUUAUCCGGAAUUACUGGGCGUAAAGAGAUGCGUAGGCGGCCCACCAAGUUUUUGCUUAAAGCUUCCCGCUCAACGGGAAAAUUGGUAAAAAAACUGGCGGGCUAGAGAGCGGAAGAGGUAACUGGAAUUCCCGGUGUAGGAGUGAAAUCCGUAGAUAUCGGGAGGAACACCAAUGGCGAAGGCAGGUUACUGGUCCGUUUCUGACGCUCAGGCUCGAAAGCGUGGGGAGCGAACGGG